ACUCCUACGGGAGGCAGCAGUCGGGAAUAUUGCGCAAUGGAGGAAACUCUGACGCAGUGACGCCGCGUAUAGGAAGAAGGUUUUCGGAUUGUAAACUAUUGUCGUUAGGGAAGAUAAAAGACAGUACCUAAGGAGGAAGCUCCGGCUAACUACGUGCCAGCAGCCGCGGUAAUACGUAGGGAGCAAGCGUUAUCCGGAUUUACUGGGUGUAAAGGGAGCGUAGACGGUGCAGCAAGUCUGGAGUGAAAGGCAGGGGCCCAACCCCUGGACUGCUCUGGAAACUGUUGUACUUGAGUGCAGGAGAGGUAAGUGGAAUUCCUAGUGUAGCGGUGAAAUGCGUAGAUAUUAGGAGGAACACCAGUGGCGAAGGCGGCUUACUGGACUGUAACUGACGUUGAGGCUCGAAAGCGUGGGGAGCAAACAGGAUUAGAUACCCCAGUA
rnacentral:rRNA from 1 species